rnacentral:rRNA from 1 species
AUUGAACGCUGGCGGAAUGUUUUACACAUGCAAGUCGAGCGGCAGCGCGGGGGCAACCCUGGCGGCGAGCGGCGAACGGGUGAGUAAUACAUCGGAACGUGUCCUUGAGUGGGGGAUAGCUCGGCGAAAGCCGGAUUAAUACCGCAUAAGCUCUGCGGAGGAAAGCGGGGGACUGGUAACGGCCUCGCGCUGUUGGAGCGGCCGAUGUCGGAUUAGCUAGUUGGUGGGGUAAAGGCCCACCAAGGCGACGAUCCGUAGCUGGUCUGAGAGGAUGAUCAGCCACACUGGAACUGAGACACGGUCCAGACUCCUACGGGAGGCAGCAGUGGGGAAUUUUGGACAAUGGGGGCAACCCUGAUCCAGCCAUUCCGCGUGAGUGAAGAAGGCC